ncrna:unclassified sequences xerDC RNA
GAUUUCGUCGCCGGGCGGAUCACGGGACACCGGAGGAGCCUUCCGCAGCCGAGUUCAGCGGCCUGGUGUCCGCGGUUGCUCACACGAGCAGAGGUCAAAGACCUCCACACCGCAGCGUACUGACC